AGGUAAGACCUGGUGCUGACUGCCUCCUGAUAGCUUCCGCUGUCCGAAGCGAACUGUAAGAUUCCUCGACUGUGGACGGGCAACUGUGGGGGACCGGUGUCGCUGUUUCUCUCGCAGGUGAGUUUCUCGUACACUGGUGUCGUGCGCGAUCGUUGUCACAAUCACCUUCCUUCGUCUCUACCAACGCCGAGGCCAACUGCGGUGGCGUGUAUCCGUUAAGUAUGCACU